CCUACGGGUGGCUGCAGUGGGGAAUAUUGGGCAAUGGGCGCAAGCCUGACCCAGCAACGCCGCGUGAAGGAAGAAGGCUUUCGGUUUGUAAACUUCUUUUGUCAGGGACGAAGCAAGUGACGGUACCCGACGAAUAAGCCUCGGCUAACUACGUGCCAGCAGCCGCGGUAAUACGGAGGUGGCAAGCGUUAACCGGAUUUACUGGGUGUAAAGGGCGUCUAGGUGGGACGGCAAGUCAGAUGUGAAAACCACGGGCUCAACCUGUGGCCUGCAUUUGAAACUGUAGUUCGUGAGUACUGGAGAGGCAGACGGAAUUCCUAGUGUAGCGGUGAAAGGCGUAGAUAUUAGGAGGAACCCCAGUGGCGAAGGCGGUCUGCUGGACAGCAACUGACGCUGAGGCGCGAAAGCGUGGGGAGCAAACAGGAUUAGAUACCCGGGUAGUC
rnacentral:rRNA from 1 species